rnacentral:rRNA from 1 species
CGCACGGGUGCGUAACGCGUAACCAACCUACCCGAAUCUGGGGGAUAGCCCGCCGAAAGGCGGAUUAAUACCGCAUAAAACUGCAGCACGGCAUCGUGUAACAGUUAAAGAUUUAUUGGAUUCGGAUGGGGUUGCGUGCCAUUAGCUAGUUGGAGAGGUAACGGCUCACCAAGGCGACGAUGGCUAGGGGAGCUGAGAGGCUGGUCCCCCACACGGGCACUGAGAUACGGGCCCG